AAAGUCGUAACAAGGUUUCCGUAGGUGAACCUGCGGAAGGAUCAUUAAAGAAAUAAACUUGAUGAGUUGUUGCUGGCUCUAAAUUUUGAGCAUGUGCACGCUUGUCAUUUUUAUCUUUCCACCAUGUGCACUUUGCAUAGGUCUGAAAAUCAAGGUCUCUACCUUUGAUGUCUUGGGAAUUGCAGGUUGCUUUUGCAAUCAGCUUUUCCUGUCUUCAGGCUCUAUGAUUUUUAUAUACACCAUGUAUGUUAAAGAACGUCUUUAAAGGCUUUUAGCCUAUAAACAUAAUACAACUUUCAGCAACGGAUCUCUUGGCUCUC
rnacentral:misc_RNA from 1 species